rnacentral:lncRNA from 1 species
GGGCUGCACCCAUGGCACAUGUAAGUUCUCAGGCUAGGGGUUGAAUUGGAGAUACAGCUUACAGCCUACACCACAGCCACAGCAAUGCAGGAUCCGAGCCACAUCUGCAACCUACACCACAGCUCAUGGCAACACUGGAUUCUUAAUCCACUGAGCGAGGUCAUGGAUCGAACCCACAUCCUCACCGAUACUAGUUAACCACAACGGUAACUCCCCAGAGCCUUUUUUGUAGUAGUCCUGGAUACGAAAUCCAGUCAUUAUCAAUUUGAUCUCUUUUGACCCACAAGGAUCUGAAAAAAGCCAAGACUGGUUUUAUACCUCCUGCUGGUAUUUCUGGUGGAGCACGCAGAUGGCACCCUCUCCACACAUCCCGACAUUCACUUGGGAAUACUAAGGAGGCUUAGCCUUUGAGCCAUGGACUUAACAUUUCCUGACAAUAUUGCAUGUGCAUUAGAAUCAACUGGAUGCCUGUUGACAUUCAGACUGCUGAACCCCACCCCUGGAGUUUCUGACUCAGCUAGCUUGGGGUAUAGUAUGAGAAUUUGCAUUUCUAACAAGUUCUCAGGUGAUGCUAAUGCUGCUGGUCCAGGGGCCCCACCUGAAACCACUGCCCUGGCUUCUUCCCUGUGAUGGGGCUAUUGAUAUAUCUCACAUUUAAAGCAAAACCAGCUGAGGUGCUUUUACCAGCCAGAAUGGCUAUCAUCAAAAAGUCUACCAACAAUAAUUGCUGGAGAGGAUGUGGAGAAAAAGGAACCCUAUUACACUGUUGGUGGGAAUGUAAAUUGGUGCAAUCACUGUGGAAAACAGUAUGGAAAUUCCUCAGAAAACUAAAAAUAGAAUGACCAUUUGAUCCAGCAAUCCCUCUCCUGGGCAUCUACCCAGAGAAAACCAUGACUCGAAAAGACACAUGUACUCCAAUGUUCAUUGUAGCACUCUAUACAAUAGCCAAGACAUGGAAACAACCUAAAUGUCCAUCAACAGACGAGUGGAUCAAGAAGAGGUGGUACGUAUACACAAUGGAAUAUUACUCAGCCAUUAAAAGGAAAGCAAUAACAGCAAUUUUGGAGUGACAUGGAUGGACCUAGAAAUUACCAUGCUAAGUGAAGUCAAUCAGGCAAUGAGAUACCAACAUCAAAUGCUAUCACUGACAUGUGGAAUCUAAAAAAAGGACACAAUGAACUUCUUUGCAGAACAGAUACUGACUCACAGACUUUGAAAAACUUAUAGUUUCCAAAUGAGACAAGUUGGGGGAUAAGGGGAUACCCUGAGGGUUUGGGAUGGAAAUGCUAUAAAAUUUGGUUGUGAUGAUUGUUAUACAAUUAUAAAUGUAAUACAAUUCAUUGAUGAACAGGAAGGACUCUUUAUGUAAACAUACUGCUUCAUACUCAUGCCAGGACAUAGUUACCUAAACAAGCACUGUUUCCUUCUCCUGGAGGACCUAGCUGUCAUUCUCACGGAGCUGCCACAGCCAGCCUUUAACUAACCACUGUCUUCACAGCUCAUCCUGCUUGGCUUGAAUGAACUCAACAGUUCAUCUUGAUGGGAUGGAUGGAACCUAUUCAUUCAUUUGUUUACAUGUUUACUGAGCACCUACUAUAUGCCAAGCCCUUUUCUGAAAAACAGUUUUAAAGAACCAUGACCCUUUCCCUCAAGGAGUUUAUAAUCUUAGGUUGAGUGUGAAUUUGAGCAGAACUGAUAAAAAACAAAAUGAAAUACAUGAAUCCAUUGUGAUAGGUAAGUAUCCAUUGUGACAGAUGAAAAAAAAAAAAAACAUAUGAAGAAGGUCCCCUUUAGGUUAGAUGACCAGAGAAAGCCCCUGGAGGAGGUAACACUUAAAUUUAGAGAAGCUGGAAGUCCAUUCCCAUCUGUGUACCCUGAGCCAAACAUACUCUUAAGGCCACUCUGGGAGCUUUAAAAAUGUUUAUCUGCUACUUAUAAACAAUAAAAAGAGUAAUACAUUUCAGGCUUAGAUUACUGUUUCUAUUAAGGAAGAGAAAAAGCCAUUCCUAGGCAUACUGGUUAAAGCAAGCUGGAGGUCUGGUGAAUAAAUACAAUUUAUAAUGUAAAAUGAAGGAUCACUGUCCACUUUUAAAAGUAGUGCUUAUCAGCAUGCCUAACUUUUCUAAAAUAGUCUAGAAAAUAAUAAUAAAAUCCAAAAAAUUAUGAAACAUCCCAAGGUUUGAAAGAGUGAUAUUCAUGUAAAUGCAUAAAUUGUUCAGUACAUAUUUACUAAAUCCUCAGAACUUCCCAAACCAUAGGGAUGCCUAACCCUUCCCACUGACAAAUAUUAGCUAAACAUCUAUGAUGCACUUACCACUUCCUCAAGCUGGUCACAGUUUUGCUUCUUUUCACUACUGCCAUUUCGCUUCCUUACUCUGCCAACAAACAUUAUGACCAAAUGAUCAGAAGAUCAUGAUGGUGGGCAUAGGUUUUUGUUUUGUUUCUUUUUUUUCUUAUGUGUGCUUUAGAUCUUGAAAAUCCACUACCCUACAAGUUGCAUCUACUACAUUUCUUGCACCAGUCUAUGAAGCAAAGCAACACAUUUUUACAGCUAGUUAUCACUAGAACUUCCUGCAAACCUCUUGCUCAAUAUUACUGGAUGGCCAAGGCCUAAAUAUCAUCUUUAUCUUUCAAAAUGGAUGGAUUUUCAACAGCUCUGUGUCUUCAGCCCUAGAAUUUUAGUUCCAAUUCCAGAUAAUUAUACUUUCUAGGUCUCUAGUGCCUGCAAACCCUUGUCUGAAGAACCUCAACUGGAAGACACAUAUGCCCACUUUUAGUGGAGCAAUACUGAACAGGCAAUGCUGUAUAGUUCGUACCAAUUUUACCACUGACUUUCUAAAACUCUUAGAGGAAACAAGUCUCAAGAAUUUGCUCAUCCACUGAAUCAACUCCCCAAAACAUACUGCACACCUACUGUUAAUUCAUCCCAUAAACAAUGCAGAAGACUUUCUACAAAGGAAUACAUGGAGGUGUCCUUUCUAACACGUGUUUGUUUUAACUUAGAGUGAUAAUACCAGGGCACUACCAGUUGACUAGACCUAUAACCAUGUCUCAAUUAUUGCUUCAGGUCUUUCCAGGGGUAACCUAAUUUGGGUAGGAUUCCUGUGUUUUCCAGUGUCAUCUCCUUUAUAUGCCUCUGAAGAUGUUAGACAAAAGUGGAUACAAUUGAGAAUGGAAUACACAAAAUCAAGCCUGUUUAUACUGAAAGGAAUCUGAAUAAAAUACUUCAUCAAUGGCACACAAUUGUGAUUACACAGUACUUCAAAAAUGUCAUCAAUAUUGAUUAAUGAGAACCUACUAAAUAGCACAGGAAAAUCUACUCAAUAAUUUGUAAUAACCUAUAUGGGAAAAAAAGAAUGGAUAUAUUCACAUGUAUGACUGAUUCACUUUGCUGUAUACCUGAAAUUAAUACAUUAUAAAUCAUCUAUAGUCCAAUAAAAUUAAAUUUUAAAAAAGUCAUCAAUAGUUUAAGCUUACCAUUUAUUUUAAAAAAGAAAAAUACUAAAUAAAACAAAAGGCUAGGUUUCCUCCCUUCCUGAUUUCCCUGGCAUUUAGGAGGAUUGCCAUAGAUAAGUCCACAAGUGAACAGCUGAGCUACAUAAUGUACAGUUCUAACUGGGCAGCUUCUAAAAAAAAAAUAGAAGGACUCCUUCCAACUCCAGUUAAUGUGCUUGAUACAAAGGGAACAUGUUUCUGCAACAAACACAUUUAGAGCUUGGUGUUUUACAGAGUAACUAAUGAAGGCUCAAGCCAUAGAAAAAUUUAUUUUUCCAGGAUAUUACAUGUUCUGACUCACCAUUUUAACAGAAGUACAAGUAAAAUGAAAAUGCAAAUUAAACGUAUACGUGUUUAUGACUUAACCAGUAUAUGACAAGGCUACUUUUGGCUUCUGGCUUUAUUAACCAGGAAGAGAAGCCUGGAAAACCACCAUACAUUUGUAUUUCUAUUCAAGUAGUUCCCUCUCUCCAAGUACUGGUUGGAGCAAAGUAUUAAUUCUAAGUCCAGUAAUACAUAUAAGCCAAGAGAUCAUAGUGAAUGGAUGAAAGAAGACAUUGUAUCCUUAAUUAUCUGCCUGAACAAGAUUUUUUAAAAAUACCAUCUCACAUGUGAUUACUCAUUAAUAAUUAUUGCAAACAAAUCUUUGUUAACGUCUAUGAUUUCUAGAAAUCAAAAAUGCACUUUCACCAUAGAAACUCUGGCCAACCUUGAAUAAAAGCUUCUUAAGAAUUCCGCAUUAGCCAUGGUCCUCCUUCUAAACACCUGUGCGACUGUGAGCGAGUCAGUUAACCUGUUCUGCAACCUGUUCAAGCCUGGGUUUCUUACCAAUAAAAAGUGAGUCUCUGAACUAGUUAACAUAUGAAUUCUUUGUAAGAAAUCUACCUCAGUCCCCAAUGGCUGAAUCUGUUAAUAAUAUUUAAGACCCAUUCUAAUUCUUUAUCAUCAUUCCUCUAAACAUAAAAAACAUGACUUUGGGGCAUAUAGGAAGAAGAGUGUUAAGAGGUUUCUUAAAGGGAACAGAAACUAGAUUGGUUUUGUUAAUUAGGUUCCCCCUAUGAAACCACCAGCCAGUAUUAGCAGCUGCUGAAAUUUACCCAAAGAGUGGUUGGUUUCUCCAUCUUAAGACUUACUCUUUCAUAUAAUGGCACAAGUCAACUUCUAGGAAUGUAUCUUUCAGCCAGUUACACAUUACUAACAACAAAGGGUGGGGAUGGGAGGCAAGCAAAAGAGCAUUGCAGAGACUAUGUGAGUCUACAUUUACACAAAGAAAAACUCUUCUUUAUAUGAUGUAUUCAGGAGAGCCAUGAUGGGCACCUGCACCUGCUAGGUUCAGGAGGCACCUUUUGUAGGUAAAUUAUCUUAUGGAUCAGCAGAUACUGGGAAUUUACACGAUAAGAUGCAGUCUAUGUAUUAUGGCAGGUGUUUUCCUUAUGAGUGAUUUCACUCACCUCCUUCAUUCAACAACUCUUUAUUGAGUACUUUCUAUAUGCAAACCCCAAAGCUAAAGAAUGAAUAAAUAAAGAUGAGAGUUGAUCAUCUGGAAUAUUCAAGUUAAUCCUGACGUUCAUUUAAGAGUAGUUCAGCCCCUCAGAAUAUUUCCAAGUCAAAAAAUAAUACUAAACAAUCUAGAUGCUAAGCUCAAGUGCCCUUGGACUUUUUUUCCCUUCCAUUACAUGGUAUGUGGCAAAAGGGGAGUAAAUUACAGGUGUGGUAGGUAAUUUGCUAAAUCCCUUUAGUUAAUACAGGGUGAAAAGUCUUCUAUCCCCUAAAGGAAAUAACAUUGGCUCACAAAUAUAUUGAUAAGCAUCGCAGACUGCUAAAACCAGAAAAAGCAAAGUAAUUCCAUACCAACCUCUUGUUUUACAGGUGAGAGACUUGAGGCUCAGAGAUGGUAUGAUCUGUUCCAGGUUAUACAGCCAAAAAAGUGCCAGAACCAAUACCCAGGUCACCAGCAGGCAGGCUUAACAGUCCCUAGUAUAUUGUACAUGUUCUAGCCCAUGACAUGCCCUCAGUGCUAAAGGCAUAAUCCACAGAAUGAAGGACUAGACAUCAGGAACUCUGAGUUCUGGUCUUAGAAACAUGAUACCACAGAAAACUUGGAUCACUUAUCUAAGCCUCAGUUUCCUCAUCUGUCGAAAUGUGAACAGUAGUUCAUGGUGAAACAGUGCAGACCCCAAUAAAGGCAGAGGUCUGGCCACAGUCAAAACAUUAUACAAGUACAGAACUGGUACUGGGUGAGGAUAGCGGUGAUGGAGAUUUCAGAGAACCUGGCUCUGACUCUAAUUAUCCACUGUAACCCUGAGAUGUCACUGAAUUUGUGAGCCUCCCAUUCCUCCUGUGAACAUGUGGUUAAUAAUCAUUGCCCUGCUUCCCUCAGAAAU